AUGUGGCAGGUGCCAAUCAACAAUAAAGGGCACUUCCCCUCCAUAUACACCCAAGUCUUUGUCCAGUGUCUCCUGAGGCUUUCUGUAAUAAACACUGCACAGAGGCAAAAGAAGCGGGACUUCCUGAUGGUCUCCAUGAGUUCCUGAAAUACUGUGCUAAUGUAGAAGGUUCCGGUCAAUCAUCAACAUACAGCAAAGUACAGUAUGUAUUGCGCUUUAGAACUGUUUCAAAAACAACAUAAAUCAAUGCAGCAUCCUUUCAAGGUACUGCAGCGUUCCUAAGAACCAAUGCUGCCUUUUUAAAGUGCAAGGAACUUGAAGCUGAGAAGUGCAACAAAGACACCGGGGGGAAAUCACACUCCACUCGUGGUCUCGUGGAAUAUUCUUUGUUGUCAGUGGUGGAGGCAACAUACUGGCAACCUCUAUACAGGUCGGAGUCUCCAACACAGGCCUUUCUGGUUCUGGCCAUGUAUCUUGUUGAAAGUGGGAUGCCACACAAGGAAGUCGAGGAACGAAUGCGGAGAACCAUCGUGGCGUAUGAAAUAACAUGUGCCACGUGGAUGGCAUGAAUAAAGUGGCGAAGGAGCCACUCCCCUUCCCUGCCCCACUAGACCGACUCUGGUCGUUGAUAGUGAAGGUGAUCGCCUGCCUUCAUAUCAAAAACCACACGGACGAGAGGUGCAAAUUGAUGUACAGCCCAGAUGAGAGGAUGUCGGCCGAAUACAACACCAUGGCGGCCGAGCAAACCUUCACCUGGGCUGCACCAGUUCUUCUUUUUGCAUCGCGGAUUGAAGAGAAGAAACCUAUAUACAGAGCGCUGCCACAAGAUGAACAAGCUGCCGGUGCUACCAAAAAAAAGCAAGCCCUGGCAUGACCAGUAGUAACAAGCAAUAUUACACAAGCUACAAAAAAAAGCUAACAAGCUGGAACUUGCAUUGAUUAUUUCGCACGUUACGAUUUGAUAACUUUUAUUUACCUACGGUAACGCUCUUAUCAACCAACCCGUACCAUGUCUAGUUGAAACAAUUUUAUAGAUGUUGCAUUAACUAAUACUCGCGAGUAUUCAUAAGACAAUCGUCAAGUAGAAGUAAUGGUUAAAGAGUAUAGUUUUUAUGAGCUAUUAAAGUUACACAUUAAAAUGCUCAAGAAACUGAAUAAAUCAUUCAUACCAUGCCUUGUCUAAA